AGCAGCCGCGGUAAUUCCAGCUCCAAUAGCGUAUAUUAAAGUUGUUGCAGUUAAAAAGCUCGUAGUUGAAUUUCGGAAUCUGUCCAUCGGUCGGGCUUUAUUGUCCGUACUGGUGUGGUGGGUUCUUACCUUCUGAAUAACCAGCAUGCCAUUUAUUUGGUGCGUUGGGGAAGCAGGACUAUUACCUUGAAAAAAUUAGAGUGCUCAAAGCAGGCUAGUGCCUGAAUACAUUAGCAUGGAAUAAUAAAAUAGGACGGCAUGGUUCUAUUUUGUGGUUUCUAGGAUCACCGUAAUGAUUAAUAGGGAUAGUUGGGGCAUUAGUAUUCAAUUGUCAGAGGUGAAAUUCUUGGAUUUAUUGAAGACUAACUUCUGCGAAAGCAUUUGCCAAGGAUGUUUCAUUAAUCAAGAACGAAAGUUAGGGAUCGAAGACGAUCAGAUACGUCGUAGUCUUAACCAUAAACUAUGCCGACU
rnacentral:rRNA from 1 species